UCUAACAUCAUUCAAUUACCUCCAAUUUAAUAUAUUCAAGCCUACAUUUCUGGCCUUUCAAAAUAUUUUGAGUCUAAACUCUAAAUCAUAAACCCUAAACCCUAAACUCUAGACUUACUUCUCUUUCUCUAACCUUCUCCUCUCACCUCAUUUUCCCUUUUUGGCCUUUUGUCUGUUAUUUUUAUAUUUUCGAAGGCCUAAGCUGCUUCCAUCUCUGUACGCUCAGUUCAUUUUACUUAAUGAAUGAAGCUGGUAGCUUGCUAUCUUAUUUCGCCAAAAAAAAAAAAAAAAAAAUUUUGAGUCUAAACAUAUA
rnacentral:lncRNA from 1 species